ensembl:lncRNA
ACUCCAGCAUUCUUGCCUGGAGAAUCCCAUGGGCAGAGGAACCUGGUGGGCCACAGUUCACGGGGUCGCAAAGAGGUGGACACAACUGAAGCGACUUAGCAUACAUAAUCCUUACACGCAACUCCAAAACUCAAAGUUCUGCAGACUGGAAGUUUUGGGGAUUCUUUUAGCUGCAAAACCUGACCUGAUCUGAUGAGAGGCUAUUUACAAUCAUUACUUUCCCUGCUUACUCUGAAUAUUCAUAUACUUUCCUGCAAAAAUAUUAAUGGGUUUGAUUACAGGCUGCUGCCCCGGGUCCUCCUGGGUUUUUAAUGUGAUAGGAAGCCCACGGGGUGCGUUCUCCAGGAAGCUGCGAAGUUCUGAAUCUGAAAGCACGUUCCGCCCCAGUGGUGUUGACGAGGCGUGCUGGCCUCUCAUGGCGAUGGGCCACAAUGCAGUCGUAGUUCAGUUUAUAAGCACAGUGCUCGACUCCGGGUGGGGGAAAAGGGAGAAUCUGAGAGGGGCUGAACGGAGGGACGAGACACUGACCUCCCAGAAUCCUUCACUCUGGAAUCCAUCUUGGCUGAGUGAUGGUCACACCACCAGCAAGGACCCUGAGUCAGACCAUCUGUGGGCCAAGCAGGAAGACCGGCCAGAGACAACCCGGACAGGAACCUCACAUACCCUGCUUGCUCUCCGUCGGGCGCCCCUUCCCAAUAAAGGCUCUUGCUUCAUCAGCGCGUGUGUCUUCUCAGACAAUUCAUCACCAAGAGUUAAAUGAGAGCCCACUCACGGGACCUGGAAGGGGCCCGUCCUUCCUGCAAUGCUCAGCCUGAGCCUGGGCUGCAAGGGAGGCUGGGAGAGUGCGUGUCUGGCACUUGGUCUUGUGAGCUGUCCCUACGCCCUCCUCACACCAAGCAGCUGUGGGCUCCUUGAGUGGAAAGCAGAAGUAGAAAACCAAUGAGAUUGUGGAAAUUUCUAAACGAUCUAUCAUUUGGCUUUAGUUUUCUUCCGUUCUCUCAGAUGCCAAUCUUUGCUCCCCAUCCUCUCUUCUCACUUGAGAUCAAAUUAAGCUUUCAAAAGCUAGUCAUUUUUAAUGGGCUGAUUGAGUGACUUCAUUGACUUGAAAGAACUUUCUGCCAACUGCCUUUAAUUGCUUUUUUUCCCCUUUAAAUCAAA